ACACACACACACACACACACACACGCACACACACAGUUUGUUAGUUGUUUGUACAUCAGAUAUCUCGGAGCCUCUCUGCAGCACAUGAACGCACCAUCAGACAGCUGGUUGACUUUUACUUCCAGGAAUGACGUCAUUGCCAACAAAAUGCUGAUUGCAGCAAGUUUCACAUGAUAUUUAAAGAAAUAAACUGAAACCAACGGUCGCCUGGAGUGGGUUGAGAAAGAGCUGUUUUUGGUUUUGAAUGUCUGAACUAUAUCCUUGGGUGUUACAGAGAACUGAAGUGAAACCAGGUUCAACUUCCAUGUUCUUCCAGCCCUACAAUAUGACCUACAAGGCCUCUGACCUACUACAAGGCUGAUUGCAGCCUGAAAUCCUCUGGUAGUUCUUUGUAAUUCCCAGGUCUAGACUAAAAACCAGAGAAGACCGGGUCAAGGAGGAAUCUCAAUGACCUGCACAUUAUAUAAGAACUGGAUUUUGAUUCAUCGUUUUUAUUGCAAAAUUGUAUUGUUAUUUAUUCUUAUUUAUAUUUUAUUGUACAACAAGUAGUUCCGACCAAGCAAUCUGAUUGGUCAACUAGACAUUUAGAACGUGCUCAAAUCAGCAUGACACAACACCGGGCUCAUCACUAAAAAUAUUACUCCGCCAGGGUGAUAGCAGUUUUGUGAUCGCAGUGAAAAUGUUGUUUUUGAAAUUUAAACGCCAACAAACAUGGAUUGAUGCAGAACAUUUCGUUAUAUAAAUAAUUGGAAAUUCGACCUUUGGACUUCACAGCGCCCUGAAGUUAUUGGAAAUAUUUCACGUGGAAACUGUUCCGCCUUGAUGUUCCGGCUUCCUCCAUCAGCUGCGCCGAUGUUUGAUUGAACAUGUUACAUAGCCAAAUGUUAACCCUGAAGGCGGACGGAGGAAACUCUGCCCUACAGAUCAUCUUUCGGAAGUAAAAUCUUGCUGCCGUUUCCACGGAGAUAACCGGAGGAAAACUGAGAAGCAUGAGACGUAACGAGGACACAUGAACCCGAGACACUGCAGUGCUGUGAUGUCAUCAAGCAUCAUUGCUUUUCUGCUGUUCUGUUUCCACCUGAAGGCACCACAGGGGCUGAUGGUACUUGUCCACAGGAUCCGUCAUUUCCACGCUUUCCAUUCAUUGUCUAUGUAGAAAGCCCUGCAAAGCCUUCUGGUAGCGUAGCAUUGCGUUUCAACUCAUUUGCAUAAAGUUGAAUCUAAGCUACUUUAUGUAAAUUAGGGGCGUCCUCUGCAAAACUCCCAAAAACGUUUAAACUAACCACUGUCGAUCUAAAAUGAAGACAGAUUCAGAUUCAGCAACUAGACUAAAAAAAGUUUUCAGAAACACAUUUCGGUGAAUUAUUUUCAUAAUAUAAGAAAGUUUCCAAACGAGCCGCCAUGUUGGUCCGGUUCGAAAUCCGGGAGCAGACAGCCCACGAGUGAAAGCGUUCGUCCAAUCAGGUGCAGCCAGGAAGUGCUUCCUGUUGUGUUUCAGGUUUACACAAAAAGCAGGUAUUUCUGUUGUCACCAUAACAACAGAAACACAAAGCUAUGUGGACGAUAAACAGCUGAAUCAGAGAAGACAGGAAGGAGCUUCAACCUGCUGACACCAAACUCUGUCAAAAGCCUGCGGACAUAAAAACGGAAGGAGAGAAGUUGCCUACAACUCCCAAAAUGCAUUUCGUUUAGGAUCAAUUCCGAUGAAGCAGCCUGCAGUCAGUCCGCAGGUCACAGUGAACCCUGAGGCGGUCUGAUCUGAAACCUUCCAGCUCUGAAUACAAUUGAAAUAAGUCAGUUAGCAUUUUCUGAACGCAGCUCCCCUGUCUGACUGAGGACACACCUAGAUGAACAGACAGGGACUGCUGAUGAAGACGAUGUCGCUCAGUGAGCGACUGUCACACUUGUGUGCUCGAUAAAUAAAGAUUAUUAUUAUGUUA